UACGAGAGGUCCAAGCAUUAGUCGGAAUCACUGGGCUUAAAGGGUGCGUAGGCGGGCUUGUAAGUGUCUUGUGAAAUCCCCGGGCUCAACCUGGGAAUUGCAGGGCAUACUGCGAGUCUAGAGGAAUCUAGAGGCCGGCAGAACGAUAGGUGGAGCGGUGGAAUGCGUAGAUAUCUAUCGGAAUGCCAAAGGUGAAGACAGCCGGCUGGGGAUUUCCUGACGCUGAGGCACGAAAGCGUGGGGAUCAAACAGG
rnacentral:rRNA from 1 species